rnacentral:rRNA from 1 species
AUGAUGCUCAAACAACAAGGCACGAUGGAGGAGUACAAUGUGCAGUUCCAACAACUGGUGUACAACAUCAGACUAUAUGAGCCUUCCAUAAGUGACACGUUUCUGGUAACCAGGUCUAUCAUGGGAUUGAAAGAGGAACUAAGAAGUGUAGUGGAACUCCAACUUCCAAUCAAUGUGCAGACAACAUCCAUGUAUGCUACAGUCCAGGAAGGGCUCUUAGCUCAGCAAAAGUCUUCUAAAUCCGAUUUCCAGAAGAACAAUGUUACCAGAAACGACAGAAAACACAAUUUUGUUCCUGAUGAACUUUGGAAAGCCAAGCAACUCAAAGAAUAUAGGCGUGCUAAUGAUUUGUGUUACAGCUGA